GGGCUGCCUGCUCUUCAACAAGCCCACCCACUACAACAAUGGCAACUACACCCUCAUUGCUAAGAAUGCCCUGGGCACAGCCAAUCAGACCAUCAAUGGACACUUCCUUAAGGAGCCCUUUCCAGAAAGCACAGAUUUCUUUGACUUUGAGUCUGAUACGAGCCCGACACCCCCUAUCACUGUGACCCACAAACCAGAGGAAGACACUUUUGGGGU